UACGAAGGACCCGAGCGUUAUCCGGAUUUAUUGGGUUUAAAGGGUGCGUAGGCGGAUUGAUAAGUCAGUGGUGAAAGCCCGUCGCUUAACGGCGGAACUGCCAUUGAUACUGUCAGUCUUGAGUAUGGUUGAGGUGGGCGGAAUGUGUCAUGUAGCGGUGAAAUGCUUAGAGAUGACAUAGAACACCUAUUGCGAAGGCAGCUUACUACGCAGAUAUUGACGCUCAUGCACGAAAGCGUGGGGAUCAAACAGG
rnacentral:rRNA from 1 species